rfam:Daphnia magna strain Xinb3 scaffold00363, whole genome shotgun sequence.
ACUCUCAUAGCUCAAUGGUAGAGCGGUGGAUUGGAAUACGAUAUACCUUGGGUUCGAAUCCCGUUCAGAUGUA